UACAGAGGUCUCAAGCGUUGUUCGGAUUCAUUGGGCGUAAAGGGUGCGUAGGCGGCGCGGUAAGUCGGGUGUGAAAUCUUGGAGCUUAACUCCGAAACUGCAUUCGAUACUGCCGUGCUUGAGGACUGGAGAGGAGACUGGAAUUUACGGUGUAGCGGUGAAAUGCGCAGAUAUCGGGAAGAACACCCGUGGCGAAGGCGGUUCUCUGGGACGGUACUGACGCUGAGACGCGAAAGCGUGGGGAGCGAACAGG
rnacentral:rRNA from 1 species